CCAGGAUAAAUAAAAUGCUGAAUGAAAAGGCAGGGCAGGAGAAGCAAUCCAAUUCGGAAGGAACGGAAAGAGAC